GACGAACGCUGGCGGCGUGCUUAACACAUGCAAGUCGAACGGAAAGGCCCUGCUUUUGUGGGGUGCUCGAGUGGCGAACGGGUGAGUAACACGUGAGUAACCUGCCCUUGACUUUGGGAUAACUUCAGGAAACUGGGGCUAAUACCGGAUAGGAGCUCCCGCUGCAUGGUGGGGGUUGGAAAGUUUCGGCGGUUGGGGAUGGACUCGCGGCUUAUCAGCUUGUUGGUGGGGUAGUGGCUUACCAAGGCUUUGACGGGUAGCCGGCCUGAGAGGGUGACCGGCCACAUUGGGACUGAGAUACGGCCCAGACUCCUACGGGAGGCAGCAGUGGGGAAUAUUGCACAUUGGGCGGAAGCCUGAUGCAGCAACGCCGCGUGCGGGAUGACGGCCUUCGGGUUGUAAACCGCUUUCGCCUGUGACGAAGCGUGAGUGACGGUAAUGGGUAAAGAAGCACCGGCUAACUACGUG
rnacentral:rRNA from 1 species